UCGGGAAUAUUGCGCAAUGGAGGAAACUCUGACGCAGUGACGCCGCGUGCAGGAAGAAGGUUUUCGGAUUGUAAACUGCUUUAGACAGGGAAGAAAAAGGACAGUACCUGUAGAAUAAGCUCCGGCUAACUACGUGCCAGCAGCCGCGGUAAUACGUAGGGAGCAAGCGUUAUCCGGAUUUAUUGGGUGUAAAGGGUGCGUAGACGGGAAUGCAAGUUGGUUGUGAAAUCCCUCGGCUCAACUGAGGAAUUGCAACCAAAACUACAUUUCUUGAGUGCUGGAGAGGAAAGUGGAAUUCCUAGUGUAGCGGUGAAAUGCGUAGAUAUUAGGAGGAACACCAGUGGCGAAGGCGACUUUCUGGACAGUAACUGACGUUGAGGCACGAAAGUGUGGGGAGCAAACAGGAUUAGAUACC
rnacentral:rRNA from 1 species